rnacentral:rRNA from 1 species
GACAGAGGAUGCAAUCGUUAUCCGGAAUGAUUGGGCGUAAAGCGUCUGUAGGUGGCUUUUCAAGUCCGCCGUCAAAUCCCAGGGCUCAACCCUGGACAGGCGGUGGAAACUACCAAGCUGGAGUACGGUAGGGGCAGAGGGAAUUUCCGGUGGAGCGGUGAAAUGCAUUGAGAUCGGAAGGAACGCCCGUGGCGAAAGCGAGGUCCUGGACGCCUACGUGACGCUGAGACGCGAAAGCC